UGAGGAAUAUUGGUCAAUGGGCGGGAGCCUGAACCAGCCAAGUCGCGUGAAGGAAGAAGGAUCUAUGGUUCGUAAACUUCUUUUGCAGGGGAAUAAAGUGCAGGACGUGUCCUGUUUUGUAUGUACCCUGAGAAUAAGGAUCGGCUAACUCCGUGCCAGCAGCCGCGGUAAUACGGAGGAUCCGAGCGUUAUCCGGAUUUAUUGGGUUUAAAGGGUGCGUAGGUGGUUUGAUAAGUCAGCGGUGAAAGUUUGCAGCUUAACUGUAAAAAUGCCGUUGAAACUGUCGGACUUGAGUGUAAAUGAGGUAGGCGGAAUGCGUGAUGUAGCGGUGAAAUGCAUAGAUAUCACGCAGAACUCCGAUUGCGAAGGCAGCUUACUAAGCUACAACUGACACUGAAGCACGAAAGCGUGGGGAUCAAACA
rnacentral:rRNA from 1 species